CCUACGGGUGGCAGCAGUGGGGAAUAUUGGGCAAUGGGCGCAAGCCUGACCCAGCAACGCCGCGUGAAGGAAGAAGGCUUUCGGGUUGUAAACUUCUUUUCUUAGGGACGAAGAAAGUGACGGUCCCUCAGGAAUAAGCCACGGCUAACUACGUGCCAGCAGCCGCGGGAAUCCGUAGGUGGCAAGCGUUCUCCGGAUUUAUUGGGUGUAAAGGGCGUGUAGGCGGGAAAGCAAGUCAGAUGUGAAAACUCAGGGCUCAACCCUGAGCCCGCAUUUGAAACUGUUGUUCUUGAGUGCUGGAGAGGCAAUCGGAAUGCGGGGUGUAGCGGUGAAAUGCGUAGAUAUACGGAGGAACACCGGUGGCGAAGGCAGAUUGCUGGACAGUAACUGACGCUGAGGCGCGAAAGCGUGGGGAGCGAACAGGAUUAGAUACCCCAGUAGUC
rnacentral:rRNA from 1 species